rnacentral:rRNA from 1 species
GAUGAACGCUGGCGGCGUGCCUAAUACAUGCAAGUCGAGCGAACAGACCAGGAGCUUGCUCCUCUGACGUUAUCGGCCGACGGGUGAUUAACACGUGGAUAACCUACCUAUAAGACUGGGAUAACUUCAGCAAACCGUGGCUAAUACCGAAUAAUUUAUUGAACCUCAUUGUUCAAUAGUUAAAUACGGUUUUGCUUUCACUUAUAGAUUGAUCCGCCCCGGAUUAGCUAGUUGGUAAUGAAAUGGCUUACCAAGGCAACGAUGCGUAGACGACCCGAGAGGGUGGUCGGCCACCAGGGAAGUGAGACACGGUACAGACUCCUACGGGAGGACGCAGUAGGGAAUCUUACGCAAUGGGCGAAAGCCUGACGGAGGAAAGCGGAGUGAGUGAUGAAGGUCUUCGGAUCGUAAAACUCUGUUAUUAGGGGAGAACAAAUGUGUAAGUAACUAGGAUCGUAAUGACGGUACCUAAUCAGAAAGCCACGGCUAACUACGUG